rnacentral:rRNA from 1 species
UCCGGCCGCCAUGGCCGCGGGAUUGGAUAGAGGCCUACCAUGGUGGUAACGGGUAACGGGGUGUUAGGGCACGACACCGGAGAGGGAGCCUGAGAAACGGCUACCACAUCCAAGGAUGGCAGCAGGCGCGCAAAUUACCCAAUCCCGGCACGGGGAGGUAGUGACAAUAAAUAACAAUACGGGGUUCUUUCGGAUCUCGUAAUUGGAAUGAGUACAAUUUAAAUCUCUUAACGAGGAACAAUUGGAGGGCAAGUCUGGUGCCAGCAGCCGCGGUAAUUCCAGCUCCAAUAGCGUAUAUUAAAGUUGUUGCAGUUAAAAAGCUCGUAGUUGAAUUUCGGGGUUAGCAGGUCGGUCGUGCCAUCGGUAUGAACUGGUCUCGCUGAUCCCUCCCUCUUGACGAACUGUGAUGCCAUUAAUUUGGUGUCGCAGGGAAUCAGGACUGUUACUUUGAAAAAAUUAGAGUGUUUAAAGCAGGCUCACGCUUGAAUACAUUAGCAUGGAAUAAUGAAAUAGGACGUUUGAUCCUAUUUUGUUGGUUUCUAGGAUUGACGUAAUGAUUAAUAGGGAUAGUUGGGGGCAUUAGUAUUCAAUUGUCAGAGGUGAAAUUCUUGGAUUUAUUGAAGACUAACUACUGCGAAAGCAUUUGCCAAGGAUGUUUUCAUUAAUCAAGAACGAAAGUUAGGGGAUCGAAGACGAUCAGAUACCGUCGUAGUCUUAACCAUAAACUAUGCCGACUAGGGAUCGGAUGAUGUUAAUUUUUUAAUGACUCAUUCGGCGCCUUACGGGAAACCAAAGUGUUUGGGUUC